GGAUGAACUCAUCUCAUCCCCACAACAACCUUGUGAGCCCAGAUUGGGGACUCCUGGUGGCACUGGAUUAGUGGCAGCAACCUUUUGUUGACAACGUUAUUAUUUUGUCAGAUGAAGGAACUGAUUGUGGAGAAAUGGUUGCUUCCUCACAACUGACUUUCAAAUAAUUCCCCUUGACAUGGCG